UAUGGAUAGAAUGUAAUUCAAUUUAUUUUAACUCAUUUCAUUUUCAAUUCGCGUAUUAACCACCACCAACUUGCACUUAGUGAUUAUUGUAUCAGAAAGGGCCUAUUAUUGUUCAUACAUGAGUAUAUCCAGAAAUAUCAACCACUUCUUUUUAGUGUACAAUAAUAUUACUUUCUCUUUCCUCUUAUUGCUACACAUAUUACAUUACUCAGAAAAAUCAAGAAUCACCAAAAAAACGAAAAAUGGAAAAAUCACAUGAGAAUGAGCAUCCAAUUAAGGCAUUUGGAUGGGCAGCUAGAGACACUUCUGGUGUUCUUUCUCCUCUCAAUUUUUCAAGAAGGAUGACUGGUGAAAAAGAUGUGCAGUUCAAAGUAUUAUAUUGUGGAAUUUGUCAAACUGAUCUUCAUUAGAUCAACAAUGAUUGGGGCAUCACCAAAUAUCCUAUUGUACCUGGGCAAGUUUACUCUUUAAUGCAUUCUUUAUUUUACUUUUUAUGUUCUUUAUUUGUGAUCGCCAAAAUUUUUUAUUGUGCAUAUAGGUAACAAAAACUUGUAAGAAGCGUUGAAUCGAUUUUACAUUAGAGAAUUUUCUAGUGUAACUUUCUGAAUUAUUAUAGAUGUAGCUGUAUUUCCGCUCAUUACAAAAUGAUAGAUUAUACCUAGAAUAUAUACACAAAGCUAGAUACAAAAAGGUCAAGAUCAGAUCCCUCAUAUCGUGCUUUUUACCUACAAUAUGUGACUAUGUGUACCUACAAUAUUUGACUGUGUAUCUAACACAAUCUAACAAUUGAUAUACUUUGACAAAUAUCUUGACAUUGGUAUCUGACUAUCUUAUCACUCCCCCUCAAGUUGGAGCUACAUGUCCUAUGCUCCGAACUUGCCACAAAUGUAUCUAAUCCGAGCUCCUCUAAGGGACUUAGUCAAAAUAUCUGCCAAUUGAUCAUUUGAACCGACGAAGCUGGUGGCCAUACAUCCGGAUUCAAUCUUCUACCUAAUAAAAUGAUAGUCCACUUCUAUAUGUUUCGUUUUUUCAUGGAAAACUGAAUUUGAGGCAAUAUGUAGGGCGGCCUGAUUGUCAUAUAUAAACCUCAUCUGUUUGAAUUCAACACAUUUUAACUCUUGGAGAAGUUGUUUCAACCAAUUAAGCUCGCAUGUAACAAGGGCCAUAGCUCGAUAUUCAUCUUCCACAUUAGAUCUGGCAACAACAUCUUGCUUCUUACUUUUUCAAGAAAUUAAAUUGCCUCCAAUCAUGACGCAAUACCCAAACGUAGAGCGUCUAUCUAUUGGAGAACCUGCCCAAUCCGCAUUAGAAUAUCCAACAAUGUUUCUGUGACCUUUGUCUUAAUAUAUCAAUCCUUCUCCUGGAGCUCUUUUGACAUAUCGGAGGAUGCGAAUUACUGCAUUCCAAUGAUCUUGACAUGGAGCUUGGAGAAACUGACUAACCACACUUACUGCAAAUGAAAUAUCCGGGCGUGUGAUAGUGAGAUAAUUCAGUUUACCGACCAAUCUUUUAUAUCUACCGGGAUCUUUCAGUGGCCUCCCUUGUCCAGGGACGAGUUUAAUGUUUGGAUCCAUAGAAGUGUCAAUCGAUUUGCAAUUUAACAUGCAUGUCUUUUUUAAUAUGUCUAAAGCAUAUUUUCUUUGUGAGAUAGCAAUACUUGUCUUGGAUUGUGCUACCUCAAUUCCCAAAAUAUACUUUAACUUCCCCAAAUCUUUGGUUUGAAUGUGACUGAACAAAUGUUGUCAACAUAAACGACCAAAUAUGACAAUGUCGUCAACAUAAACGACCAGAUAAAUGUUCUUUUCUGGACCAUUAUGUCAAUAGAACACAAAGUGGUCUGCUUUACUUUGAGACAUGCCAAAUUGUUGGACGACAGAACUAAAUCUGCCAAACCAUGCCCUUGGAGAUUGCUUGAGGCCAUAUAGAGAACGUUUGAGACUGCAAACGAAGUCUGACUCCCCCUGAGCAACAAAUCCAGGAGGUUGCUCCAUAUAAACUUCCUCAGCAAGUUCACCAUGCAAAAAUGCAUUCUUAAUAUCUAGUUGAUGAAGCGGCCAAUGAUGCAUUGCUGCCAAGGAGAUAAUCAAGCGAACAGAUGCAAUUUCCGAAACUGGAGAGAAUGUAUCACCAUAGUCAAGAUCAUAAAUCUGGGUCUACCCUUUGGCAACAAGGCGAGCUUUCAGUCGAUCAACUGUUCCAUCCAAACCCACUUUUACCAUAUAGAUCCAUCGACUUCCAACAGUAGAUUUUCCCUUCGUUAACUGGACCAACUCCCAAGUGUUAUUGGUCUGUAAAAUAUUCAUUUCUUCGAUCAUAGCAUCUCUCUACCCUGGAUGUUCUAGUGCUUCACUAAUAGUUUUUGGUACAGGUACAUUAAAUAGGGUAGACACAAAGGUAUAAUAUAAUAGGGACAACCGAUGAUAACUUAAACAGUUAUAUCUUUAUGGUUGUUGAUUUUGUGUAGUACGUAUACCUUUGCGUAUGGCAAUUGGUGGGGUCACUGCAUCUGAUGAAGGCAUGACGGGAGAAGGUGAUGACGGAGCAAGACAUGAGUCAUCGGGAGCGACCAAUGUAUCAGGACUAGGAGUAGUGCUAUAAUUAUCAUUGUUAAGAGAACGAGCAGGCCGAGUGUAUACUUGUAGAGGAAGAGCGGUUUGAGGGUUUUCUGAAAUAGGGACUUGUUGCAGAGGAAGUAUAGGUACUGACAAAACUUGAGGAAUUAAACUUCUGCUUAUAGUGCUUGGUAUAAAAUAGGGAGAUGUUUCAAAAAAUGUCACAUCUGCACUAAUAAAAUAUUUAUUUAUUUUUGGAUCAUAGCAUUUGUAACCUUUUUGGUGACAAGAGUAUUCUAGAAAGGCACACUUCAUUGAUUUUGGUUGGAGUUUGUCAUUUCUAGUACUUUGAUCAUGGACAAAGCAAACACAUCCAAACACUCUCAAAGGUAAAUGAUAAGGAUUUUGACCUGGAAAAAGAAUUGAGUGAGGACUUUGUUGUUGCAACACAGUGGAGGGCAUUCUAUUGAUCAAAUAACAAGCAGCGAGAACAACAUUUCCCCAAAAACAAAGAGGAACGUGAUGGUGUAUAAGUAAAGUACGAGCAGUUUCGAUGAGAUGCUUAUUUUUACAUUCGGUGACUCCAUUUUGUUGAGGAGUAUAUACACAAGAUGUCUGAUGAGUGAUUCCUGAGACAACAUGAAACUAGAAAAGGGAGAAGAUAAGUACUCUUUGGCAUUAUCACUGCGUAAUACCUUUAGAAACACCAAAUUGAUUAUUUAUCUCAGCACAAAAUUUUUGAAAAAUAAAGAAUACUUCAGAAUGAUUUUUCAUCAAAUAUACCCAUGUGCAACGGGAGAAGUCAUUAAUAAAGAUAACAAAAUACUGAAUCCUAGACUUAAAACGACACGACUAGGACCCCAUAUAUCUGAGUGAACAAUGUCAAAUAUACAUGUGGGCCCUGUUAUUGACACUUUUGGAAAAUGAAGUAUGACUAUAUUUCCCAAGUUGACAUGACUCACAUUCAAAAGAAGACAAAGAGAAAAGACUAGGGAUUAACUUUUGAAGUUUUGCGAGACUCGGAUGACCAUAACGGCUGUGGAGAAAAUCAACUAAGGAAGCAGAAGUGAAGGCAACUGGUGGUGGAGAUUUUGACAUGUGAUAUAGUCCCUGUUACUCAUAUCCUAUUUCAAUCGUCUUCCCCGUUCUCUAGUCCUGUACAACAACAGAGUUCGCCAAAAAAGUGACACCAUAAUUUAGGUGCUUGAUUAAUUUGCUUAUAGAUAUCAAAUUAAAUGGACAUUCAGGAGCAAAUAAAGAUGAGUUUAAGGAAAUAGAAGGAAGAAGUUGCACGUCCCCUAUUCCUUUUACUGCAGUUCAUGAUCCAUUAGCAAGGGUAACUGCGGAGAGGGUUGUGGAAUGAAUAAGAUUUGAGAAAAGAUUUUGAUUACCAGAGAUAUGGUCAGAUGCACUAGAAUCCACUAUCCAUGGGCAAGUGGGUGAAGACCUGGUUAGACAAGCAAAGGAAUUACCAAUUUGUGGGGUGCUAGCUAAAGGUGAUUGUUGCGUAGCCGCUUGAUACUGCAAGUAAUCAUUAUAAUCUGCUCCAGAAAAAGUAAUAGAAUUAGACAGUUGACCCUCUAUAUCUUUACGGAUCUGAGCCACAUGAGCUGUACUACAAUUGUUAAUACGUUGUGGUCGACCAUGCAAUUUCCAACAAGUCUGUCGAGUAUGGCCUAGCUUGUUGCAAUAGUUGCAAUAGGGUCUAGAGUUUCUAAUGUUUCUCCUUUGCUGGACAUUUUGUUCCUGUGAGUUCUCAUUUUUCACAGCUAAUACAGAUGUCUCAACGUUAUUGGUAUCAUUUGUUUUUGAACUAAUACACAACAAUGGAGCUGAAACGUCGAUUACAGAAGGAACUGAUGAACUUGCCAAGAUUUGAUCCCUUAUAGGACUCAAAUCAGAUCGAAGUCCUUUUAGUGCUAGAACCAUCAAGAACUUAUCUCUUUGUUGCUCCUGAUGAGAGAGUCAAAUUAAUCUUUCAAGGUAUCGAUUUGUCCUAAAUAACUCGCCAUAUCUUCAUUAUUCUGCUGAAGUUGGACCAAGUCUGAGACAACCUUGUAUAUGCGUUGUAUGUCAUUCAUAUACAAAGUCUUAGCUUUAGUCCAAACUUUAUAGCAAUUUUUACAAGAUUGAAAUAGAUUAAGUUAGGAUCCAAAGAAUUUCAUACGAGAUUGCAUAAUUGAGAAUCAAUUUGAGUCCACUUAGUCCUUUCACUAGUAACAAUAUCACUAGUAUUUUUAAAUGAUCCUCAUAUCCUUAUCCCAUAAACCAUAUCUCGACAGAUGAAGACCAUGGUGUGUAAUUAUUACUACCUUCCAAUUUUAUGGUAGUUAUAAUAGGAGAACUUGAAAUAGAGGAAAACAUGGAUUUGAAAUUUCCUGAAGAUUCAGUUUUCUAUGAGACACUAGUUAGAGAUUCACCUUUCUCUGACAUUAUGGCUUCAACAACUAACUGAAAUUCUAAAAAAAUGAGUUACAAAAAAAAGAAUUUUUUUUUGGUUAAUAGAACUUGAAACAAAGGAAAUAAAAGAACAAGGUUCCUCUUGGUGACUAAAGAUCUUGUAGAACUAUUUCGAUCUUAAAUGAACAAGAGCUACGCCAGAAAAAGGAAGAAACAGUCGAUGAAGAUGACUGGUUUUACUGAAAAUUAUAUGAGUGAUGGGUAAGAUUAGAAUAAACGAUUGGACCUCAUAAACUCAGAAUGACAGUUUGACAUGGUCAGGAAAACCUACAGGAAGUGCUGCUAGUAAAGGAAGAAGCUGGAAUAGUUAUGGAAAAUCUAUCAAAACAGUCACCGAAAAAGGCAACUUGAGCCUCUACAAAGACAGCAGGAAUCUCUGAUACCAUAUUACAGAUGUAGCUGUAUUUCAGCUCAUUACAAAAUGAUAGAUUAUACCUAGAAUAUAUACACAAAGCUAGGUACAAAAAGGUCAAUAUCAGAUCCCUAAUAUCCUGCUCUUUACCUACAAUAUGUGACUAUGUGUACCUACAAUAUUUGACUAUGUGUAUCUAUAACACAAUCUAACAAUUGAUAUACUUUGACAAAUAUCUUGACAUUGGUAUCUGACUAUCUUAACAUGAAUAAAUCCAAUAAAAUGCUUCAAUAUUUUUGAGGGAUCCAUGCAAUUUAAAUUUGGACCAUAUUGUAAAUAUUUAAACCUCAAAAAUAAUUAUGUAAAUACUAGAGUGGACCCGUUCAUAUUACAAAUGGGCAGGACAGUUCGAUGCACUAAGCUCCCACUAUGCAUGGGGUCAGUGAAGGAUCGGACUACAAAAAUCUAUUGAAUGCAACCUUAUCCUACAUUUCUGCAAGAGUAUGUUUCCACUUUUCACAGCUUGAACCGGUUACCUCUUUUGUCAUUCAUAUUACAAAUGUAUGGAGGAAUUGAUUAACAAGAAACUUAUGUGUUGGAGGUCAAUAUAGUUUUGAAUUUAUGAAGUUAAUAUAGUUUUGAAUUUAUGAAAUCAAAAUUAUGUCAAUCUCAAUUGUUUUUGCAAGCAUGAAAUUGUUGGUGUGGUAACUGAGGUUGGUAACAAGGUAGACAAGUUUAAAGUCGGAGAAAAAGUAGGUGUUGGAUACUGAUGUUGCAUUUUUUAAUAUUAUCAUAAUCCUAAGUGUUGCACUACUCCUUUAUCAUAAUUAUAGUGGUGUACUCAACAAUAUUAUCAUAAUCCUAAGUGCUGCACUACUCCUUUAUCAUAAUUAUAAUGGUGCACUAAACAGUUCUUAAUGCCAUGCACUCCUAGAAUUGGUUUUCUUUUAUAUAUAUAUUCAUCAUUAAGCCAUUAUAUAUACAUCCUAACAAUUGUUUUAUUGGUCUGAGAAAACAAAGAGAAAUCUAACAAUCUACGUUGUAUUAUUCAUAUUAAAGAGAGUUUGCUAGUUGAAGGGAGGUGUUCUUUUAGUGGAGCUUUGAAUUCAAUUCUUGUCUAGAGUUGUAGAGUUAUUGUGAGAAGACUGUUGUAUCCUGGAGGGGACAAGUCAAAAGGAUAACUGCUGGACCGGUGAAACACUUGCUGCAGUGGGCUUGAAUCUCCUUAAAGAGAGCAAGAUAUCCGUGCCUCAGCCAAAGAAGAAGAAGAUAAUUUUUUUUUAUUUUCUUCACUUGUAAUUUUCAGUUGUAUUAUUAUUGUAAUUUCACCAACAAUUUUAAGAAAAUUCAAAUGACAACAACUGAAAAAUCCAUGGAUGUCAAGAUAGGAGAUCUUAACAAGUCAUUCUGGUUCAACGAGACUCACUUCAAGAGGUGGAAGGGUAAAGUGUUUUUC